GGGGAAUAUUGGACAAUGGGCGAAAGCCUGAUCCAGCCAUGCCGCGUGUGUGAAGAAGGCCUUUUGGUUGUAAAGCACUUUAAGCGAGGAGGAGGCUACUUGGAUUAAUACUCUAGGAUAGUGGACGUUACUCGCAGAAUAAGCACCGGCUAACUCUGUGCCAGCAGCCGCGGUAAUACAGAGGGUGCGAGCGUUAAUCGGAUUUACUGGGCGUAAAGCGUGCGUAGGCGGCUUUUUAAGUCGGAUGUGAAAUCCCUGAGCUUAACUUAGGAAUUGCAUUCGAUACUGGGAAGCUAGAGUAUGGGAGAGGAUGGUAGAAUUCCAGGUGUAGCGGUGAAAUGCGUAGAGAUCUGGAGGAAUACCGAUGGCGAAGGCAGCCAUCUGGCCUAAUACUGACGCUGAGGUACGAAAGCAUGGGGAGCAAACAGGAUUAGAUACCCUGGUAGUCCAUGCCGUAAACGAUGCCUACUAGCCGUUGGGGCCUUUGAGGCUUUAGUGGCGCAGCUAACGCGAUAAGUAGACCGCCUGGGGAGUACGGUCGCAAGACUA
rnacentral:rRNA from 1 species